rnacentral:rRNA from 1 species
AGAACGAACGCUGGCGGCAGGCUUAACACAUGCAAGUCGAACGCUCAUAGCAAUAUGGGAGUGGCGCACGGGUGAGUAACGCGUGGGAACAUGCCCUUCAGUUCGGAAUAACAGUUGGAAACGACUGCUAAUACCGAAUAUUCCCUCCGGGGGAAAGAUUUAUCGCUGAAGGAUUGGCCCGCGUAAGAUUAGGUAGUUGGUGGGGUAAUGGCCUACCAAGCCUUCGAUCUUUAGCUGGUCUGAGAGGACGACCAGCCACACUGGAACUGAGACACGGUCCAGACUCCUACGGGAGGCAGCAGUGGGGAAUAUUGGACAAUGGGGGAAACCCUGAUCCAGCCAUGCCGCGUGAGUGAUGAAGGCCUUAGGGUUGUAAAGCUCUUUUGUCAGGGAAGAUGAUGACGGUACCUGAAGAAUAAGCACCGGCUAACUUCGUGCCAGCAGCCGC